AGCAGAGCUGGGGUGCCCCAGGAACAUGCUCACUCCUAACAGAGGUUUCAGCUUCUUAGGAAUACAUGCAGCUGGUGCAAAUUCAUACUGCAGUUUAUCCACCCACCUAAGACAGAACAGCGCAAUGGGGUGUUCCUGUGUCCUGCCCUGCAUCCAAACUGGAUAAAAGCCAGGCUCUGGCUUGCACCUAGCUAAGAGACUGUAGUUACAACUCCAGCAGUGCCAGGAUGACUCACGGGGCUUUGCACUCUGCCAGAUGACUUUGAAGGGAACAGAGAGUUGCAUAUGGAAAGCACAAGCAGAUGCAGCACAGCAUCUCCCAGACACUCGUCAAGCACUCAAUGCUUAUGGCAUCUACUGCAAAGCUAACCAGAACUGACCCCUUGGUCUGCGAUCAGCAACCAACUUCAGAAAAAAUCAACAGAAUUACUUUCAGAAAUAACAUUCAGUGCACUGCAUGGUCUGCUCACUGCACAAUUUAGAGUUGCCUUUUUUUUUUUUUCAUUCAGGCAUCAAAAGCCAAUGGCUCUUUUAAAGUUAACAAACAUGGAACUCUUCUGGGCAUAAAUGGAUUUGGACUAGGACCUUGGGCAAUACAGUCUCUCAUAAUUACCUGUUCUUCACACACUUUCAAGCAGCAGAAAAUCCAAAUGAUAUUUCUAUUGGUGCAUUUUUUUCAAACAGCACUCUUAUGUUCCCAUCUCCUGAACCAGCUGCUAUCACACUGGUGGGCAUGUGUCAUCUUUACUGGAAAGCUGCCCAGCCUGGAAGGAUGAUUUUAGCAGGGAGGUAUCCAGCUUAUCUCAGGUGUGGGGAGAGGUGUGUUCACAGUCAUUCCUGUCUCCUUACUCCCAUGUUUGAAAACAAAAAGAGCGUACAAGCACAGCUGAGUCUGACAAUCCAGAUAAGAGAUUUUAUUUAUAUUUAUUUUUCCAAGGUCAGAAUCUGAGAGUUAAGAAAAAUUAAGUACAUCAACUUGCAUUUCUCAAAAAAAAAAAUCAAAAAACAACCCAGAGUUAUCAAAAUCUCUCUUACAGUCCUGCCUGAAUGAAAAGUGGGCAGUAGCCAUGUACAGCAAAAAUAUCAUGCUGGCCUGCAGAGAAAUUCAGAGGCAAUGCAAACAGCAUAAACAGCAUCCAGAAUGAUGAAAAGUAAUUUCUCAGAGUAGUACAGCUCACAUUCGUUUCCAUUUUGUCCAUUCAUGACCCCACCUUCUCUACUUCCAGGAAGGCACACUGUUUACUGAACAGGAAUUUUGCCAGGAUGCCCUUUACAUCUGGGAGAACCACACGGUGCUCAGCCUACAUAGCUGUUUUAGUAUCGAGAGCUGCUACUGUUAGCUUGCCUUGUAACUGAUAAGAAAUGACUUUGCUUCUUCUAUUCCUAAAACAAAAAACCCCAAGCAGGCUUAACAGAAAACAAAAGACUUUAAAUAGAGCUAGUGUGCAGUAUUACCAUGAAAAAUAAACCAAACAAAACACUUGAAAGUAAAAUGCUUUCACUGCAUUUGUUUCAGAGAACCUUGAAAGUAACCGACUUCUCCACAUAUGGAUCUGUUUAAGGUUUGCUACUCUGUAUUAUCAAACAAAUCACUGCUUUGUUUUGAUGAUGUCCCUUUCACUUCAGAAACUUGGUUCUUUUUUUAAAAAAAAACAAGUUGUGGUAUGUUUGCUCUGGUAUAACUAAGUACACCACCUGGAAUUCUGCCUUAUUAAAAAAAAAGGAAGAAGCAAAUCACACUCAAAAUACACAACACCCAGGUUGCUACUGCUACUCUUCAUACUACUCCAGCUAUCCAAGACUCUGUGGAAGAAGGGGAAGGUGGAGCUAGGCACUGCCUGGCUGUAUAAAACUUGUAUGGGUAUCAUACAAAAUUUCUACUCCAGACAAGAAACAUUUUUUCAGCCACGGACUGUGCUUCAAAGAGUUUAUCAUGUGAAGACCACCCUCUCAGAUUAAUGUUUAAUCAUGCUUGUAGAAUUUUAGGUUCUACAGUAUUUCCAACCUUUUGCAUAAGAAUAUAUAUCACAUGAGUAAUGCUUAAUAUGCAGUAGGCUGUGCUGUGUAACUUAGAUCACUUAGAUUUGCUUCCAUGUGAAUACAGAUUUAGAGUAUUCAGUGCAAGUUGAUUUUAGUCUCUCAAGACCUCUUUUUGCCUUAGCUUUAUAGAAAUCAAACCAAAACUCAUUAUUUUUCUUCUAAGUCCAAAGCUCUGAACAGAAGACCAUAUAUUUGCAUAAGGAUGUUGGUUCUUUGGGCCCUCAGGGCGCAGAGGGAGAUGUUGCUAAAUCUGUAAUGUCCAACUAGAGCAUUUGCCAUUGAUAUUAAUGAAGUAGAUACAGCUAUGCCCUAGGUAUCUAUGAACAAGUUAGGACAGGCAUUGAUGGGCAAUGACAACACAGAGCUCUGUGUCACAGAACCAUCCCUGCACCACUCACUCAUCCCUCGGAUCCUCCAGCCUGGAUGAAGUCUCUGAUGUGAGGAUACCAGGGAGAAGGACAAACACCAGCUAAGAAAGGAGAGCACCCAAGUUUCAUUUGUCCAAUGAAAUCUGACCAGCAGAUGCUCUACUGAUUCACUCUAACAUUUUGGUGACUUCUAUGUCUAGGCUUCAGAGUGAAGUGAUAACCUGAGUUCAAACCUAAACCACCUCACUGCAGCUUCAAGCUCAACAAACUAAGCCAGCAUUGAUUGAGAAGCCUUGGCUUUCUGCAGCACCUGUACUGCUAAGUUAGUCAGUAGUACCUGUGCCCAGGCCUGAGUGCUGGGCACAGCCACCUUUGCUCAAGCUAUGUUAAACAAGCUCCCAAAAGACAGGCUGGCUUUGCAAUGAAUGAGAGCCUUAAUUUUCAUACUGAUUUCCAGCCCUGCCACUGAAGCUACAUGAAGGGUUUCUGGCAAGGGAGGAACUCACCUCCAAGACAAUUCGUUGUGAAUCCCUGAGGCUGGCCUUUAGCUUUGCCGUCUGUUCUCUGACUUUGCUGGCUACCUUCCCAGCUCCUGCACCCUUCUGCAUGCCUCAGAGAGGAACUACUCAACUUUAUAGCAGCAUUAACUCAUCAGCUGGAAACCUGCCAGGCUCCUUACAUUUUCACUACAAUCGUCUGAGCUCUGAUUCCAGAGGGUGCCUCGAGACAGGAUCCAUGGUCACAGACAGCACUACACAACUGCUUUCUGAUGUGCUUGAUCCAUUUGGGGUGCUGGGCAAGAUGCAUUAGUGCUUGCAUAGCUACUGCAAACUGCCUCUGUGUAAGCACAAAAAUGCCCCUUGUUUUUGUUUAGCUCAGUGUUAGAGAUACUCAUGUGCCUGUGGAACAAACACGGAGCACCCCAGCACAGAGCUUAUGAAGUAUCAGCAGUCAAGAUCUCCUGCAGAUCUACUGUGCUAUUUGCUUCUCACAAAGGUGACACACUUCUGGAGAGCUGAGGAGAUGUGCCUAGUUUAUUUCUAGUUAGCAGAAGGUGACAACUUUGUGCAAUUAAAGUAGGAUUAGGUAACAAUUAAAACAAAGCCAAAACUGGGUGGAAGAGGGACAGAGGGGAAUAAUAAAUCAGCAGAAAAAUCACAGGACAUUUGCUUUUUUUGACUGACAACAGCACAAAAUCUGUGCACUUGAAGUGACUUUUUAAAUAAUUGUUGCUGCUGCUUGGAAUCAUAGCACCUGUAUAUCUUCCAGGAUGAUUAUACUACAAAACCCUGACUAAAUUACAGUUUUUAAAUGAAGUGAAAAUCACUUCCCCACAAGCUGUCCUUUAGCAUUAUAAUUUAAAUCCAGUAUAAAUGCUAGUUUGGUCAAACUGGUCUUUAAGAGGUCACUUAGUCUAUUUCCUGCUUGAAGUAGAAACAACUGUAUCUAAACUGCUCCUGUCAGUCCUUUGUUAAAAACCUCGGCCAAUGCAGACCCACCACCUUCUGCACACUGUCUUUAUGUCCAGGUACAUCGAUAUUAGGUGUUCAUUACGGCAAUUGAAGUUGCUUUGCAUAACUACCAACCCUGGACUAGCAACAGUUGCCUUAUUUCCUUUGCAGAAACUUUCUUCUAUACCUGAAGAUCUCAUCCUUUCUCUCCUUCUUCCUUCAAAGCACAUGAUCCUCAAAGAGGCUACACCUAUUGUGAAGAACUGCUCCUUAUCCAGUCUUUUUUUCCCCACAGAUCUGUGCAGCUGAUUAUGCCUACUAAAGUGCUGUAUGUUGCAGUGCUCAUUAUUAAAUUACACAAUAUUUUUAAGGUCACUUCCUACAUUUGCCCCCAUCACUUAGCAUUCUAGUCCUGUCCUCCAAUGUGCUACAACCCUUUCAUCCCCACGGUUAACUCAAAAGGCAGUAUUUAUGUGCUCUAGGCCAGUAUACUCAUCAGUAAGGAAAACAUCAAUUACUAGGGACUGUGAGAUGGUCCUCUACAGAUUCUUCCAACCUCAAAGUGACUCACUGCUAACUACAGGUCACUUUGGUGUUUAACCAAAAAAAUCUUACCCCUCCUUUGUUUCUCGAAGUGAUGCUUACAAUGGUAGUUUAAUCAUUGUCAACUAAACUUGUAUCUGAGUUUCUAAAAGGUUUGGUCAGUCUCUUUCACACUAAGUGCUAUAGAAUAAAUAGCUGCUCCAGCCACAGUUCUGAACUAGGUAACAGUAUAGUGCACUCUCUGCAGAGGGAAAAUUAAUCCAAAUUAAUGCAAGCAGGCUAGGACUCAUUUAUCACCAGCAGUUACUGGCUCAAAGUGAGGCAUCAAUGUAAAGGAACAGCACAGCUCCUGGAUAGUUUAAUGGUACACAUGCCCCUGUCUGAGAUGGCAGCUGGAUAUUCCUGCUCCUGCCUACCCAGCCCUGAAUUCAGAAAAUAUGCUCAAGGUAUUUUUCAUUAUCUGUGUAUUACCUAUCUCAAAAUGUUCCCCCAUCUACGCAAACCCAAGUUACACCAGCUCCAGGAAACCUCCACACAUCAGUUUUAUAGGAAUUAGGGAAUUUUACAUGAAGGGUUUGAUGCUGUUUAGUUGAUUCUCUUGUACUUGCACGUUGUUAAAUUGAAUUUGAAGUAGGUCUCCCAAGUCUGUAAUAGGAAAGAAACUGAUACACAGAGACAAGUCAGUGUGAGGGGGGAGCAUUCAGUGCUAGGACCUUGCCACACAUACUAUUGAUCACAAACCAAGUAGGACAAGCUGGCAGGGGUGAGCAAUGUGCAAUUUGAGUGUAAAAAGAAAGAACUAUACAUAUACAUGGCAUAUUUUAACCAGUUUUAUCACAGAGCCUGAAGGGCCUUUGUACAGUUAUACAAAUCCAAAAAGCAGAUUUGUCCUUAACUCCAAGACCCAUUACUUGGCAUUUUUCACAAUUUUUUGCACAAUACCUAAAGAAUUGUUUAAAAAACUGGUCAGGCUUUUCUAUUGUUGCCAGAUAAAAUUCAAGACAUAAUGAGCAUCAAUUCUUUAACACCAGUAGCUGAAUAAAAAGUGUUUGAACUAUUUCUGCAACUUUAUAGUAGAUAGACAAACAUUAAUUUUAUUUUUCUUUUCAUUCUGAUAGUAGUGCUAUUAAAAACUAGCAAAGUAUCUAUAUAAUCUUUGGAUUAACACACAGAUUUCAGAGCAGGUAGGACAGUACUGUGAACACUGCUCACGCAAGUGUCAAACCUGCAAAUCUGCAGGCAUGAAAACUUACUCCCAUGAGUAGAUAUGUUGAUUUGUGCUGCAUAACCCUCUCUUAAUUAUGCCACUGAGAAUACUUGCAUGAAAAAUUCACUGUGUGGGGUCUGAUAAAAACCCUUGGUUUAUAGCUUGCAGGAGGUCAGUACUAAAAAGGGGAAAAAAACCCCAAAACUUGAGGCAUUUUGAGUUAGUGGAUCUGUCAUCUAGUCUCAACUGAAAAAAAAGUAAUUUAAAUAUUCUCACAAUUCAAAACGUUCAGGAGUUACACAGUCUUUCACUAGUGCAUUUUUUAAAUGAAAGUAUAUUAAAUAGCAGUGCAGUCUGGCUCUACUUAACACUUAAAUAUUUUACUGAAAUGCCUUUCUAAAUUUGCAUCAUCCCUCUUCCUUAAGCAGUUUCACUCACUACCAGCAAAUAAGGUAAAAGCCACACUGUAACAUAAAGGUUGCUUCUCCAGCUGGACAGAAAUACAAAAAUACCAGACUUCUGAUUGCUAUGCUAAAUUACACCAUUCUUUCCUACUCUGACUAUAGUCUUCUGGCUAGAAAAAAGGAAGGAAAAAGGGGAAGGGAAGAAAAUGCUUAGGAGAAAUAAUUCUAGAUAAAUCAGAUAUGGGCAAUACUAAAAAGUAGAAUUUCAAUAUUUAUUUGAGAGUUGCUUCAAAUAUGUUUGUAGAAGAGCAAUGAACCCUCUUCACUAUUUUUUUAACUGUAAACUUCUGUAUGGGGAAGGAAGUGUUAGAAAUAAUCUUGUGGGUUGUAUUCUCGAAACCAUUCUGCAAACUUCAGCUUUCUUUUCAUGUAGAAUGCAUUUAUUGCACUCAGUGGUGACAGUGCUGGGUAGGGAGAGACAAUAAAAAGCAUAAUGUGUCACAAGAUACAUUAUCAAGUAGAGUUUGGGUAAUUUUUUUUUUUAAUUUUGCUCGUUCAGCUUUAGUACAAGCAUUUGGAGACAUACUCUUCAACAUAACUAUGUCUUACACACCUUAAUCAACUGCUCUUCUAUAGGGAACCAUUUAGUGCUCACAACUGGGUUUUCACUGCAAAGGUGGAAACCAGAAAAAUGGACAGAUUUUUUUUUUUCACUGGGAUUUAAUAUUUAGUACUAUGAAGACAUUUGCCCAACAAGACAUUAACAGAAUAAACACAAAACUGCGGGACUUACACCAAUCUGAAAAGUCAACACCUUGAGUGGAAGAAAAAAACGUACAUGUGAAGAGGGGCACACACUUGUGCUACUGUAUAAAGACCUGCUAUUUGACUGCAUGCAAUAUACUCUUUCUCCUCCUGAUUUCAUAAAAGCAACAGAAUGCCUGGUUUUGACAAAGGGGAGAUGGAAACUUACUAUAUUUGAGAGACAAAGGAAUGGAUUGGCUUAUUCAUAUCCUGGUGUGUGUGGCAAAAAGCUUUGUGUGAACAAUGCCUACUCUGAGAGGAGAGAGGAAAAACCCAACAGAGUUCAUAUGAAUCACCUAUUUAAACCAUUUAAGCAAACUUGGAUGAUUUUUUUUUUCUUUUCCCUCCCUGGGGAGCAUUACAGAGUAAUCACAUGAAUCUGCUUCACUUUCUGACUGAAGUAGUCACCUCCGUGGCAGAACUGGAGCAAACCACAGCUGUGCAGUAACAUCUUCAACAGGCACAACUGUUUGCAGAGUAAACAUUUGCCUAUAACCUUACUGCAGACAGAGUAUGUUAACAAAAGGAAUGCUUCUACGAGCUUAGCUGCAGCACUUUCCUCACAAACACAAGGCUUCAUUAGCUCAAAUUCUGCGCUACCUCUGCACGUGGACGAGCCUGCACCACCAGCACAAUUUUUCAUUGCUCCUCAUUGUUUCAGACAGCUCAACUGAAAGAGCUUAAAUUGCUGGUCUGAGGAAUACCUUCACAAUAUUGCUUUAAACACAUACUGCAGUGCUCCCACACUGAUGGAAUAACAAGCACAGUCCGACAGUUACAAACAUCUGGAUUCAUGGGUCCAUAACCAAAGCAGUAAUAGUGUUCGCCUGCCAGGGUUUUGCAGGCAUUCUUCCUUGUGUCAGACUCCAGACCCUGGCGUUGGCAACACUCUGCAGGGUGAAAUUAGCCCAAGAUGUGGCAGUAAUGAAAGGGACAAAUGCAGUUCUUAGGAAGCAGAAAAAUCCUGUAUUAAACCAAACCACUCACACAUCUUCAUUCCAUUUGUUCUUAGUCCACAUACUUUGGGAGUGUUAUUUUAAAAUACAUAAUUUCAAAAUUAACUACUCAUAAACCAUCAACCUAUUUGCAAGUCUAGGAGAGGCUACAAACAGCAAAAUCAUCAACUGCCACCUUUUGUAGUACUUCUCAAGAAAUCACAUUAGUAUGUAUUAGCAUACAAGGCCUGAAAAAGAAAUAAGAAUCAAUAGUGUAAUCCCUGUUAAGGAAAAUCUUUCCAAGAGACCUAUAAGGUCAGGCACUCACUGGCUAGAGGAUGAGACAGAGCAGUGAGCCUUUGGGGUGAUCCAAGCAGCUCUCCUUCAGCAGUAAGUCCCAUUUCCCAGCAGCUACAAAGAAAGCAAGUUGCUUCUCUGACCAGUGCUCCAAGGCAUGUGUUUUGCCUGGCCUUUCCACUUUACUUUUUUCUUUUUAACCAUCUGUUUUCAAAUAUCUGAUUUUCACUUUAGUAAAGAGAAAAGAUUAAAGCAAAUUUACAGCACAGGGUAUAAAAGACUACAUUCUCCUGCUUGCCUGGGAAAGAUGCACUAUUUCAACUCACCACUUUUUAAACCACAUGAAUUAAGCUCUGAGUGGAUACACUGAAUUUGGUGUUUGCAUUCAUUUCCUGCAAAGUUUACACUAAAGUGGAUUUGCUGUAAAUGGGCUGUAAACUAUAAACUAAGCUGACAUGAGUGUUAUUAAAUAGAACUUCAGAAACUUUUCCACAAAGAAGAACAAUAUUUAAUUUAGGAAUGGAAAUGUGGAAGAGUGAGCAAAGGAAACUGGGAAUACACAUUUUUGUUAUUGUAGAUCAGCAGGGCAGCCAGGAACAGCUGAAGGAAGCUGCUAUCAAUCACAGCACCCCUGGGAACAGCCCCACUUGUACCAUCCCUAAAAUCCAGGAAAUACAAUGAGAGCUGGAGACAGCAGUGCCCUGCUCCAGCUGAGCUGCAGGUCUCAACAGCAGCCUCAGACAAAACCUUAACUGCAGAGCAGUGACCUCUGAUCUAAACAGUUUUAUGCUAUGAGCUGAAAAUAGUUAUUCCAGAUAUGCCAAACUUAUUUAAGAGCAUCUCUGCAGCCCAGAUUUACCAUGCACUACGUACAAAAUCUUUGCAGCAUUUACCUGAGAGUUUGUAACAGUGGGGUUUGGCACACUUCCACACCUUGAAGUAUAUAUAAGUGCUUGGCCAUGGUUUGAAACUGAGCUGCCUAGGAGCAAUAGGGCCAAGAUCUUUUUAGCUUUGCUUUAUGCUAUUAAAAGCACAAAAGAAAUUAAAUACAGCACACUGCAUCAAGUAGCACAGCUUUGAGUUAAGAUGGCAAAAGCAAGAAAAAAUGGAAUCAGAUACCUGUCCUCAGUUUACCUGUGUGUCCUAGAGCUAUGGCGUAUGUUGGACAGUAAAUGACUUGGACUUUUCUGUAGAACAGGAGAAAACAUGAGUGGAAAGCAGCACUUAAUUUUUCUCCAUCUUUAGUGGCCUAAGACUGAACUGAAUUUUAUUGGCUUUGAUGCUUUCUCUUUCUUGAAAAUCACAGGAAUUUAGUACUACUGCAUGUUAAGGAGUAAAGCUAUCAGCAUGUAGAUAUUAAGUUUUAUAGCUGGUACCCCCGAGAUGCAGCUCGUAUUCACUGCUCACAAAUGUGACAGCAUGAUACAUGACAACAUGAUUUUUUCAACAGUUCAUUGUCCAAUUAACAGAAUCAGAAAUCAAUCCUUACUGUUGAGACAGGCAAGCAAAAAACUACUGUUUAGUCAGUUUUACCGUGCCUGUCAUUCUGCUAUCCCAGUGCCUAAAACAGAAGUCAGUGUGCAGCCCAGGCCUGCUCACCACACCCAGGAACGGGGCUUUCUUGGGUGCUGGCAUUUUUAUAAAGCAGAUGUUACAGCAAUGGAUGUUACUGCAGGAAAAACAACUGCUGGGGAAAUCUACACCUCUUUUGCAUGAGAAUCACAGCGCAGCCAGUCGGUGUCAUUCUAAAGUAGCUAAAUCAGCCUCGGGUCACUCCCACGGGGUGACUCUGGGCAGUUGCACUAGCAGGUGAGAAGUGGCAGCAGAUAUCAGUGUUUAACAUGAUAUGAGAGAGCUCAACAUAUUUGUACUUCAGUAUUUGUACUGCAUCCUGUUAAAGUAACAUUUAACAUUUUAUAUGUGCCACUACUGCAUUUUAAAAAUUGCUAAUUUUUCAUUACUUAUGUAACUGAGUAAGCAGAAGGACUAUCAGCAUCCAAGAGCAUUAGUUGCCAAUUGUAUUCUUGUGAAGUUUGCAAUAUGUGGACUGCAAAUAAGAUUGUGCUCUAGAACUGGAAAAGAAACAACUGUACAUGGAAAA